AUGGCUUCAUCCGGUUCCAUGAUGAGGCCACCGUGUGCUAACCAAGAAGACAUGCCACACAAGUGGGAGACAUCUUUGGACAAGGUGAAGGAGAAAGAUGUGAAGAUUCCGCCAUGUUGGUGUGGAGAUGUUUGCAAGGUGAAGGUGUCCACCUACCGAAAAAAGUCAUGGACGGAAGGAAGGAGAUAUUUUGUAUGCCCCACCUAUGCUUAUGAUCGUGCGCUUCCAACUCAUGCCUAUGACCAACCACCGGUGUGCUAG
rnacentral:rRNA from 1 species